rnacentral:pre_miRNA from 1 species
CUCACCUGGGUGUUUUGUUAAAGAACAGAUUCUAACUCAGUUGGUCUGGGGUUGGCCUGAGAUUCUGCAUUUCUAACAAGGUCCAAGGUGAUGCUGA